rnacentral:rRNA from 1 species
UACGUAGGGGGCUAGCGUUGUCCGGAUUUACUGGGCGUAAAGCGCACGUAGGCGGCUUUGUAAGUUAGAGGUGAAAGCCUGGAGCUCAACUCCAGAAUUGCCUUUAAGACUGCAUCGCUUGAAUCCAGGAGAGGUGAGUGGAAUUCCGAGUGUAGAGGUGAAAUUCGUAGAUAUUCGGAAGAACACCAGUGGCGAAGGCGGCUCACUGGACUGGUAUUGACGCUGAGGUGCGAAAGCGUGGGGAGCAAACAGG